CGCGGUGGGGAGUCACCUUGUGGUGGCGGGGCUUGAAGCGUUUGUGGGCGGUGCCACCUUUUUUCAUGGCUCGCCGGUCACUGAAGGGUUCAGUGUCUGUCGACACCGUGGUCCAAGCAUUGCUCCUUCAUUCCCAUGUGACUGCUAUGUUGAGAUAGCAUGGCUACUUUUUAUAUCACAGCUCCUGAUCAACACUACCAUUGCCCUAGAGAAUCAAAACCAUCAGACUUGUGCCGUGAUUGUCAGGUGAAGACAGAUGGGGCACUUUGGUACGAAACUGGAAUGUACACUGGUCCACAAGGGUUUGGGUGCUGUCAGGCAAGCAGGCCAGACCCACUCGCUCAGCACUCUGGAACAUCUGCAUGUUAGCCAGUCAGGCGAUCACAUGGAAGCUCUUGUGUAUCACUGUUCUUGGUCCACUU